rnacentral:tRNA from 1 species
GGGCGAUUAGCUCAGCUGGUUAGAGUACUUGCUUGACAUGCAAGGGGUCGGUGGUUCGAGUCCACUAUCGCCCACCA